UUGGACCGUGGCUGUAGUGGCCGGUCUGAAAUGCAUAGGCUAUGGGACAAGUGCCAUCAGCGACAGAUUGUAGACAUAUCUUGUAUACCCCGUCGUGGCCGUCAUCUCUGUGUCUUCGAAAAUGUUGGGACUCUUCACCGUGUCUCUUAACCUUUGACAAUUUGACCUCAAAUCGGGUGGGACUACCCGCUGAACUUAAGCAUAUCAAUAAGCGGAGGAAAAGAAACUAACAAGGAUUCCCCUAGUAACGGCGAGUGAAGAGGGAAAAGCUCAAAUUUUGAAUCUGGCGUCUUUGACUCCCGAGUUGUAAUCUAGAGAAGUGUUUUCCGCGUCGGACCGUGUACAAGUUCCCUGGAACGGGGCGUCAUAGAGGGUGAGAAUCCCGUAUAUGCCACGGACUACCUUCGCUCUGUGAUACACUCUCAACGAGUCGAGUUGUUUGGGAAUGCAGCUCAAAAAGGGUGGUAAAUUCCAUCUAAAGCUAAAUAUUGGCGAGAGACCGAUAGCGAACAAGUACCGUGAGGGAAAGAUGAAAAGCACUUUGGAAAGAGAGUGAAACAGUACGUGAAAUUGUUGAAAGGGAAGCGUUUGAAGUCAGUCGCG
rnacentral:rRNA from 1 species